rnacentral:misc_RNA from 1 species
UUAAGUUCAGCGGGUAAUCCCGCCUGAUUUCAGAUCAAGAGAUAAAAUGAGCAGGGGCACCUCUAUAGAGUUUCUCGUUGCUUUUAGCAGAAUAACUACCAAAGGGUAAGAAGCAACUCUAAAGAGGGAUGCCAGAGCAUUUAAGCCGCCAGAGAACAAAAUUCUCGGGGGCCAGUAGUGAUUUUUCCCAGCACACCCUU